GACCCUCCAGAAUAUCUAGAAAAACUCAGAUCACAGAUCAAACAUUCGAAUCUUGCAAUUUGCAAAGGUCCAGUGUGCUACACAUACAAAACUACAACCAGUAGUAUAGAGCUGCUAACAGAACGAUAAACAUAUAUAAAUAAACAUCGGGUUCACUAUACAUACAGUCUCCAGAUACAGUAUCACUCGCUCCAGCGAGGAUCAAGCAUCAGUAUGUACAUGACCCAAAAACCCAAAACUAUCUGUAGCUGGUACUUCU
rnacentral:lncRNA from 1 species